UACGUAGGGGGCUAGCGUUGUCCGGAAUCAUUGGGCGUAAAGAGCGUGUAGGCGGCCCGGUAAGUCCGCUGUAAAAGUCAAAGGCUCAACCUUUGAAUGUCAGUGGAUACUGCCGGGCUAGAGUCCGGAAGAGGCGAGUGGAACUCCUGGUGUGAGCGGUGGAAUGCGCAGAUAUCAGGAAGAACACCAACGGCGAAGGCAGCUCGCUGGGACGGUACUGACGCUGAGACGCGAAAGCGUGGGGAGCGAACAGG
rnacentral:rRNA from 1 species